CUGGAUAUAGAACUACCAAAACAUAUUAUUGAAUUAUUGAUAUUUCCAUGUGAAACAUUUAGAGAAGUAAUACUGCACAUCUUUCAAGCAGUCAGUGACCUUAUCUUUUGCCAAAAUCAGAUGACAUUCAAUACUGAUACUAUGGAGAGAGGAAUCAAAAUAGGCACCUAAUUAUAACCCCCCCCCCCCCCAUCAUUAUAUCACUACGUGCAGAACAACUGAUUUUUAAGAGAUCAUACAACUGCUGGAUUUUGGCAGGUCACUUUCAUGAAUUCAAAGGCAAUUUACCAGUGAUUUUGGGUGCUGGGGCUGAUUUUUUUUGGCGUAUUUACAUUCUAUAUCUUCUGAUGAGGAAAGGAAAAUGCUUCAAGAAGGACUUUGUGACCUCUCAUCACUUUGUAUAAGAGCCCAGGGCAUGAACUGAAACCGAGCAGCCGACAAUAUUAAUAAUUCAGCAUUUGGCAGUGUUGUGGAUAUUAACGCAUUUGUAGUUCACCUUGACAAACCUUGGCCCAAUCACAUUCAAAAAUGAAUUUAGUCGUCUCAUUUUAGUCUCUGUUGGAUUUGACUUUUUCUACCUCCACUCUACCAGUUCACAGCAGUGAAAAUGAAAUAACCCUUGGAAUGGAAUUUGGGAGCCAAACAUAUACUUUCAGAAGAAAUGUUGAAAAGUUGACAUCUACUUUGUAUCUUCUUGGGAGUAAGAUGUGUCUAAUGUCACUGUAUGAACAUUAAAGAGAAAACCAAAUAUUCCACAGUGAAAAUUGGUAUUGACUCAGUACACUGAAGAAGUAAUUCUUGCAGUUUCAUCAGCUGUGCGUCUAAGUUCUCAGUUAAUAACAACUAAGCUUCAACUGUGAUGAUUACUUUAAAAAAGGAAGUAGAAGGUCCAGAGAUUGGAAGAACACCUCUGGUGAAAAUCUUGAAGGUCUUGUGACAUAUUUAGGAGUUUGGACUAUCCAUUAGGGCAAAGGAGGGAAAAUAAUGAGUAGAUGUGUUUGUUAAU